GGGAAUAACAGUUAGAAAUGACUGCUAAUACCGCAUAACAUGGCGAUACCGCAUGAUAUUGCCAUCAAAUAUUUAUAGGUAUGAGAUGGGCCCGCGUCUGAUUAGCCAGUUGGCAGGGUAAUGGCCUACCAAAGCGACGAUCAGUAGCCGGCUUGAGAGAGUGACCGGCCACAUUGGGACUGAGACACGGCCCAAACUCCUACGGGAGGCAGCAGUGGGGGAUAUUGCACAAUGGGGGAAACCCUGAUGCAGCGACGCCGCGUGAGUGAAGAAGUAUUUCGGUAUGUAAAGCUCUAUCAGCAGGGAAGAAAACAAUGACAGUACCUGACUAAGAAGCCCCGGCUAACUACGUGCCAGCAGCCGCGGUAAUACGUAGGGGGCAAGCGUUAUCCGGAUUUACUGGGUGUAAAGGGAGCGUAGGCGGUGCGGCAAGUCAGAAGUGAAAGCCCGGGGCUCAACUCCGGGACUGCUUUUGAAACUGUCGGACUGGAGUGUCGGAGAGGUAAGUGGAAUUCCUAGUGUAGCGGUGAAAUGCGUAGAUAUUAGGAGGAACACCAGUGGCGAAGGCGGCUUACUGGACGAUCACUGACGCUGAGGCUCGAAAGCGUGGGGAGCAAACAGGAUUAGAUACCCUGGUAGUCCACGCCGUAAACGAUGAA
rnacentral:rRNA from 1 species